GACGAACGCUGGCGGCGUGCUUAACACAUGCAAGUCGAACGGAAAGGCCCUGCUUUUGUGGGGUGCUCGAGUGGCGAACGGGUGAGUAACACGUGAGUAACCUGCCCUUGACUUUGGGAUAACUUCAGGAAACUGGGGCUAAUACCGGAUAGGAGCUCCUGCUGCAUGGUGGGGGUUGGAAAGUUUCGGCGGUUGGGGAUGGACUCGCGGCUUAUCAGCUUGUUGGUGGGGUAGUGGCUUACCAAGGCUUUGACGGGUAGCCGGCCUGAGAGGGUGACCGGCCACAUUGGGACUGAGAUACGGCCCAGACUCCUACGGGAGGCAGCAGUGGGGAAUAUUGCACAAUGGGCGGAAGCCUGAUGCAGCAACGCCGCGUGCGGGAUGACGGCCUUCGGGUUGUAAACCGCUUUCGCCUGUGACGAAGCGUGAGUGACGGUAAUGGGUAAAGAAGCACCGGCUAACUACGUGCCAGCAGCCGCGGUGAUACGUAGGGUGCGAGCGUUGUCCGGAUUUAUUGGGCGUAAAGGGCUCGUAGGUGGUUGAUCGCGUCGGAAGUGUAAUCUUGGGGCUUAACCCUGAGCGUGCUUUCGAUACGGGUUGACUUGAGGAAGGUAGGGGAGAAUGGAAUUCCUGGUGGAGCGGUGGAAUGCGCAGAUAUCAGGAGGAACACCAGUGGCGAAGGCGGUUCUCUGGGCCUUUCCUGACGCUGAGGAGCGAAAGCGUGGGGAGCGAACAGGCUUAGAUACCCUGGUAGUCCACGCUGUAAACGGUGGGUACUAGGUGUGGGGUCCAUUCCACGGGUUCCGUGCCGUAGCUAACGCUUUAAGUACCCCGCCUGGGGAGUACGGCCGCAAGGCUAAAACUCAAAGGAAUUGACGGGGCCCCGCACAAGCGGCGGAGCAUGCGGAUUAAUUCGAUGCAACGCGUAGAACCUUACCUGGGUUUGACAUGGAUCGGGAGUGCUCAGAGACGGGUGUGCCUCUUUUGGGGUCGGUUCACAGGUGGUGCAUGGCUGUCGUCAGCUCGUGUCGCGAGAUGUUGGGUUAAGUCCCGCAACGAGCGCAACCCUUGUUCACUGUUGCCAGCACGUUAUGGUGGGGACUCAGUGGAGACCGCCGGGGUCAACUCGGAGGAAGGUGGGGAUGACGUCAAGUCAUCAUGCCCCUUAUGUCCAGGGCUUCACGCAUGCUACAAUGGCUGGUACAGAGAGUGGCGAGCCUGUGAGGGUGAGCGAAUCUCGGAAAGCCGGUCUCAGUUCGGAUUGGGGUCUGCAACUCGACCUCAUGAAGUCGGAGUCGUUAGUAAUCGCAGAUCAGCAACGCUGCGGUGAAUACGUUCCCGGGGCU
rnacentral:rRNA from 1 species